AAGGUCUCGGGGCAGCUGGAGCCUAUUCCAGCAUUUUAGCAGUGUACUGAGCGUGUGCAGUGACCUGUGAUGUGACCACCAACCUGCGGCGUUUCCUCAGACAGCAGGAUGAUGUGCUGCUGCUUCUCCACCCCCUCCACCUCCUCUCCUCCUCAGAGAUCUGAAAUGUAAAUGAGAUGCUCCAGUUUCUGCUUUACCGAGGAGCCGCUGGCGUCAAGCUCAGAAUCCAGGUCAGAGAGAAGGUCUGAGGUAGCGGAGGAGGAGGAGGAAGAGGGGAGGAGGAGAAGAGAGGAGGAGAAGAGGAGAAGAAGAGAAGAGGAGGAGGAAAGGAGGAGACGUCAGAGAGGAAGCUGCUGCACACAUCAGGAAACAUAAUCCACCUGCUUCCAUGAUGGUUUUCCUUUUCACAUAAAAACAUCUGGAAAAACGAUGAAGAUCCAGGUCCCGGUAGGACGCUCUAGGUCCAGGUCCCGGUAGGAUGAUGAAGGUCCAGGUCCCGGUAGGACGCUCUAGGGCCAGGUCCCGGUAGGAUGAUGAAGGUCCUGGACCUGAAUUAAAUUCACCCCCUCUCCGAGCUGAGGACCCUGGACUUCAGUUGUUUGUAAAAGCGGGAGCUUUUUCCUGGAACGUGACAUUAAAAGAAUUUUAUUUGGUUUUGUUCUACAGAGACGUCUCGCUCCAUGAUCAGAUCUUGUGAACGGUUUCAGGACCAGUUCCAGUCUGCUGGUCAUGCUGGAGUGGACCAGCAGACUGGACAGACCAGACAGACCUGUGAAUCUUGUUGGCUGGUUUCUGUGGUUCUUGGUGAAGAUCUGUUUCUGUCACAUGUUCCUCUCAGUCAUGUUGUGGUUUUUGUAUUGACACUUCUGGGCCACCGUAGUGUUGUUCCUGUAAAACUAUGCUGGAAAUGACUUUGUUCUUCAUGUUGAUGCUUCAUCACUGACGACAGAAAACAGGUGAACUCGUUAAUCUGGACCUGGGUUGUUUCCUGCAGACUGUUAGAGUCUGCGAGCUACAUGAAUCAGAGUUUUGGACAUUAGGAGAUAAACUGUGAUGAAGCUACAGACUGUGAGGAUGUGGUCCAGUUCUGGGACUGCAGGAUGUUACUGCUGCUCGUCCCACGUCAUGGGUCCAGCAGAGUCUGCUUCUGCUCAGAGUCUGACAGCUUGUGUUGCUUCGUGUUGUCAUGUGUUUAUUUCCACUGAGCCAGAACCAGGACGGAGUCUGGAAGAGUUCCUGAGAUCCAUUCAGAUUGUUUCUCCUCAGCUUCUCGUGUCUGUUUCACACUCACAUCACUGACUGAGCACAAGAUUCAGAUGUGGCACAAAACUUUAUUAACCCUAACACCAGGGCCAUUUGACACCUGAGACAUUCAGUUUUUACAGCUGUUUGUAUCUAUGUAGAGGAAUAAAAACAGAAUCGUCUGUAAAUUCAUUUCUAAAACAAGCACAUGUGUAAAUAUGCAAAUGAGUCUGCAGUCAAAGAUUCGGUGCAGUAAAAGGGUCAAAAGUCUGAUUAUGGCUCCAAACCAGCACGAGGUUAAAUCCACCCUGAUCAGGGACUAACAGGACUUCUUGUAUCAAAGUUUGGUCCAUGUUGGAUCAUUUAUUGUCAAGAAUGUAUGUUAGCUCUGGAGAGGCUAACAGUUAGCAUCUCUAAACUUGUGAACAGCUAGAUUAGAAGCUGCCUUGGCUGGUUAUCACCAAGAAAAACUGGAAGCCGUUAUACUGACAGCUCAUUAAAUCAUCCACUGCUCUGGUUUCUAGCAUGCUAAAGCUAACCAAAUUAGCUGCUGUGUCAGCGUGUCUUCUUUUCAUUUUAUUGGCAGACUGUGUGUUACGCUGCUGCCACCUGCUGUUGACUUGGUGCUACUGCAGUAUGAGGUUCACGUGCUGACGUCACUCAUUACGACUUCCUGCUAAACAUAAACAAAAAUAAUAAAACAUAAUUAUUUUACUUCAGUGUGUUUCCUGAUUUUUGUAAAAGUGAACAUUUAAUCCAGGAUUCAAACCAAAGAAAUGUCCAGGUCAGUAGCUAAGAUGUGUGAUAUGGCUGUACGCUGAUGUCUUAUUUUUGUUCCUUUUACUGAGCCGUAGGAAUCCAAUUCACUUUAUUCAUACACAUGUUCUGAAACACAUGGUUACCAAUGUGCUGCACAUAGAAAAUAUAACUGUUAAAAGACAGAAACGUUCCACACAAAGAAAAACAAUCUGCACGCCACAAAGACGACAGAGUAUGUCUGAAAUCUACCAAAACAUCUAAAAACUACAAAAAACAAGAUCCACUAGAAGAAAUUACAAGACUUAAAACACUAAAACAGAUUUAGAUCCAGCUGAGAAACAAU